UACGGGGGGUGCAAGCGUUGCUCGGAAUUAUUGGGCGUAAAGCGUACGCAGGCGGCUUCGCAAGUCGAGUGUGAAAUCCCGGGGCUCAACCCCGGACUGGCAUUCGAAACUGCUGAGCUUGAGUGCGGGAGAGGGAAGCGGAAUUCCUGGUGUAGAGGUGAAAUUCGUAGAUAUCAGGAGGAACACCGGUGGCGAAAGCGGCUUCCUGGCCCGAUACUGACGCUCAUGUACGAAAGCGUGGGGAGCAAACAGG
rnacentral:rRNA from 1 species